UUUCACUGGGGGUGUCUGCGCUGCAGGCUGAGAUUAAAGUAAAUGCACUUUUAGACCCUUUGGACCUGAUCUGGCUCAUACCAGCGUAGGGAAGUAA
rnacentral:ncRNA from 1 species